AAGAAACGUACCCUCGUGAGGGUGCCUGACGGUACUGUAGGAAUAAGCACCGGCUAACUCCGUGCCUAGCAGCCGCGGUAAUACGGAGGGUGCGAGCGUUAUCCGGAUUUAUUGGGUUUAAAGGGUCCGUAGGCGGAUUAAUAAGUCAGUGGUGAAAUCCCAUCGCUUAACGAUGGAACUGCCAUUGAUACUGUUAGUCUUGAAUGAGGGUGCAGUGGUUGGAAUGUGUAGUGUAGCGGUGAAAUGCAUAGAUAUUACACAGAACACCGAUUGCGAAGGCAGAUCACUAACCCUAAAUUGACGCUGAGGGACGAAAGCGUGGGGAGCGAACAGGAUUAGAUACCCUGUAG
rnacentral:rRNA from 1 species